rnacentral:pre_miRNA from 1 species
UCAUUUCUUCAGUGUUGAAACAAUCUCUGGUGAGCUAAGUCCCAAGUCAUGUUCACUGGAGUUUGUUUCAACACUGUAUGAAUGAUUAAAU